UUUUCUACCUGUUUCUGUGAAUGAUUUAUUAAAUGGGAACAAUCAAUACUUUUAAUGCAGAGAAAGAAUGGUGAGAUAUGAAUCUUUUACCUGCUCUUACCCAAACUGCUGUCGCCAGAUUCAUCUCUCUUCACAAGACGUCAGGAGUGUAACAUACAUACAAUGCAGUUCCUGUACCGUUUUGCGCGGGAAUCUAAGUUUGACAACCGUAUAUUACAACAGAAACCAAUCAAUAACAAGGUUAUACACCGAUCAGUGUUGUGGUGGUGAAAUGUUUGUUUACUUAGAUCAGAUACCAACAGAGAAACCCACAUUUAUUUAUGAUGUAGAGACCACUCGGGGCUUGAUUUCAACAGCAAUCAACAGAGAGGAACCUGCCCUCUGUACUGGAAAUACGGCCUUUCUUUUCAGUCUGACGAUAAACAUCCUACUUUCUGUCCUAUUACUUACUAUGUUUUAAGUUGCUUGGAGAAAAGCUCACAAACGGAGAAAAGCCCACAUUCGUGGCCCUAAAUACGUGACCGCUGGAGACGUGCAAAGACAAAGUGAUAGUGUAUAUGCACAGCUAGAUGUGCAUCUAGAAGAAACUGAUCCAGUAACUGAAUACGUAGAACCAGUAACCCCGACGAGAAACCAAAAUCAAAGACAUUCGAUAACCAGCGAAUAUCCUCAAUACUGUGAAGUUAUCACCUGACUUUUUUCAGCGAGAAGAAACCCUUUUCAACGAAACCUUUCUUAACGAAGCUUCAAAUUU